CAGCUCCUUCGGGGCAGGGUGAAAUUCCCGACCGGCGGUGAAAGCCCGCGAAGCCCGGCGCAAAGCGCGGGGCCCGACCCGGUGGAACUCCGGGGCCGACGGUGAAAGUCCGGAUGGGAGGAGGAGGUG
rnacentral:ncRNA from 2 species